GCAAACUUGGUCAUUUAGAGGAAGUAAAAGUCGUAACAAGGUUUCCGUAGGUGAACCUGCGGAAGGAUCAUUAAAAAGAUCGACCUCUUUUGGUAUAUGGACGAUCAAAAAAUCCAUAUCCACCUUGUGUGCACUCACUGACCGUUCGCUUUGGCAGGAGGAGUCUUGGAUGAUUGAUUUGAUUCCAAGCGGGGGGAGGAGAGACUCUCUUUCUCCCUCGGCCUGCCAGAGUUUUUAAAAAUCAACCUUUAUUCUUCUUUUGGACUGAAACCUCGUCUCGAUUCUUUGUAAUCGAUCGAACCAAAUACAACUUUCAACAACGGAUCUCUUGGCUCUCGCAUCGAUGAAGAACGCAGC
rnacentral:misc_RNA from 1 species